GACGAACGCUGGCGGCGUGCUUAACACAUGCCAGUCGAACGGAAAGGCCCUGCUUUUGUGGGGUGCUCGAGUGGCGAACGGGUGAGUAACACGUGAGUAACCUGCCCUUGACUUUGUGAUAACUUCAGGAAACUGCGGAUAAUACCUGAUAGGAGCUCCUGCUGCAUGGUGGGGGUUGGAAAGUUUCGGCGGUGGGGGAUCGACUCGCGGCUUAUCAGCUUGUUGGUGGGGUAGUGGCUUACCAAGGCUUUGACGGGUAGCCGGCCUGGGAGGGCGACCGGCCACAUUGGGACUGCGAUAGGGCCCAGACUCCUACGGGAGGCAACAGUGGGGAAUAUUGCACAAUGGGCGGACGCCUGAUGCAGCAACGCCGCGUGCGGGAUGACGGCCUUCGGGCUGUAAACCGCUUUCGCCUGUGACGAAGCGUGAGUGACGGUAAUGGGUAAAGAAGCACCGGCUAACUACGUG
rnacentral:rRNA from 1 species